ensembl:snRNA U6 U6 spliceosomal RNA
AUGCUCACUUUGGCAGCACAUAUACUAAAACUGGAACAAUACAGAGAAGACUAGCAUGGUUCCUGCAUAAGGAUGAUAUGCAAAUUCAUGAAGUAUUUAAUAUUUUU